CCCUUAGACGUUCUGGGCCGCACGCGCGCUACACUGACCGGUGCAACAAGCAUCCGUCCUUGGCCGACAGGCCCGGGCAAUCUUUGAACGCUGGUCGUGAUGGGGAUAGACUUUUGCAAUUUUUGGUCUUCAACGAGGAAUUCCUAGUAAACGCAAGUCAUCAACUUGCAUUGAUUACGUCCCUGCCCUUUGUACACACCGCCCGUCGCACCUACCGAUUGAAUGGUCCGGUGAAGCCUCCGGAUUGGCGCGCACCUCGGUGCCGCCGAGAAGUUGGCUAAACCUUACCAUUUAGAGGAAGGUGAAGUCGUANCA
rnacentral:rRNA from 1 species